GACGAACGCUGGCGGCGUGCUUAACACAUGCAAGUCGAACGGAAAGGCCCUGCUUGCAGGGUACUCGAGUGGCGAACGGGUGAGUAACACGUGGGUUAUCUGCCCUGCACUUCGGGAUAAGCCUGGGAAACUGGGUCUAAUACCGGAUAGGAGCCAUUUUUAGUGUGAUGGUUGGAAAGUUUUUUCGGUGUAGGAUGAGCUCGCGGCCUAUCAGCUUGUUGGUGGGGUAAUGGCCUACCAAGGCGGCGACGGGUAGCCGGCCUGAGAGGGUGGACAGCCACAUUGGGACUGAGAUACGGCCCAGACUCCUACGGGAGGCAGCAGUGGGGAAUAUUGCACAAUGGGCGCAGGCCUGAUGCAGCGACGCCGCGUGGGGGAUGACGGCCUUCGGGUUGUAAACUCCUUUCGCUAGGGACGAAGCUUUUUGUGACGGUACCUAGAUAAGAAGCACCGGCUAACUACGUG
rnacentral:rRNA from 1 species